rnacentral:rRNA from 1 species
GACGAACGCUGGCGGCGUGCUUAACACAUGCAAGUCGAACGGAAAGGCCCUGCUUUUGUGGGGUGCUCGAGUGGCGAACGGGUGAGUAACACGUGAGUAACCUGCCCUUGACUUUGGGAUAACUUCAGGAAACUGGGGCUAAUACCGGAUAGGAGCUCCUGCUGCAUGGUGGGGGUUGGAAAGUUUCGGCGGUUGGGGAUGGACUCGCGGCUUAUCAGCUUGUUGGUGGGGUAGUGGCUUACCAAGGCUUUGACGGGUAGCCGGCCUGAGAGGGUGACCGGCCACAUUGGGACUGAGAUACGGCCCAGACUCCUACGGGAGGCAGCAGUGGGGAAUAUUGCACAAUGGGCGGAAGCCUGAUGCAGCAACGCCGCGUGCGGGAUGACGGCCUUCGGGUUGUAAACCGCUUUCGCCUGUGACGAAGCGUGAGUGACGGUAAUGGGUAAAGAAGCACCGGCUAACUACGUGCCAGCAGCCGCGGUGAUACGUAGGGUGCGAGCGUUGUCCGGAUUUAUUGGGCGUAAAGGGCUCGUAGGUGGUUGAUCGCGUCGGAAGUGUAAUCUUGGGGCUUAACCCUGAGCGUGCUUUCGAUACGGGUUGACUUGAGGAAGGUAGGGGAGAAUGGAAUUCCUGGUGGAGCGGUGGAAUGCGCAGAUAUCAGGAGGAACACCAGUGGCGAAGGCGGUUCUCUGGGCCUUUCCUGACGCUGAGGAGCGAAAGCGUGGGGAGCGAACAGGCUUAGAUACCCUGGUAGUCCACGCUGUAAACGGUGGGUACUAGGUGUGGGGUCCAUUCCACGGGUUCCGUGCCGUAGCUAACGCUUUAAGUACCCCGCCUGGGGAGUACGGCCGCAAGGCUAAAACUCAAAGGAAUUGACGGGGCCCCGCACAAGCGGCGGAGCAUGCGGAUUAAUUCGAUGCAACGCGUAGAACCUUACCUGGGUUUGACAUGGAUCGGGAGUGCUCAGAGAUGGGUGUGCCUCUUUUGGGGUCGGUUCACAGGUGGUGCAUGGCUGUCGUCAGCUCGUGUCGUGAGAUGUUGGGUUAAGUCCCGCAACGAGCGCAACCCUUGUUCACUGUUGCCAGCACGUUAUGGUGGGGACUCAGUGGAGACCGCCGGGGUCAACUCGGAGGAAGGUGGGGAUGACGUCAAGUCAUCAUGCCCCUUAUGUCCAGGGCUUCACGCAUGCUACAAUGGCUGGUACAGAGAGUGGCGAGCCUGUGAGGGUGUGCGAAUCUCGGAAAGCCGGUCUCAGUUCGGAUUGGGGUCUGCAACUCGACCUCAUGAAGUCGGAGUCGCUAGUAAUCGCAGAUCAGCAACGCUGCGGUGAAUACGUUCCCGGG